CGCGUAGGUGGUUUUGUAAGUCAGAUGUGAAAUCCUCCGGCUCAACUGGAGAACAGCAUCUGAAACUGCAGGACUCGAGUACAGAAGAGGGAAACGGAAUUCCCGGUGUAGAGGUGAAAUUCGUAGAUAUCGGGAGGAACACCGGUGGCGAAGGCGGUUUCCUGGUCUGAUACUGACACUGAGGCGCGAAAGCGUGGGGAGCAAACAGGAUUAGAUACCCUGGUAGUCCACGCCGUAAACGGUGAGUACUGGGUGUGGGAGGCGUAAUGCCUUCUGUGCCGAAGCUAACGCGUUAAGUACUCCGCCUGGGGAGUACGGCCGCAAGGUUGAA
rnacentral:rRNA from 1 species